rnacentral:rRNA from 1 species
UGAGGAAUCUUGCGCAAUGGGGGAAACCCUGACGCAGCGACGCCGCGUGAGUGAGGAAGGUCUUCGGGUCGUAAAGCUCUGUCAGGCGGGAAGAAAUGCAUGGAGGUGAACAGCCGCCAUGCUUGACGGUACCGCCAGAGGAAGCACCGGCUAACUCCGUGCCAGCAGCCGCGGUAAUACGGGGGGUGCAAGCGUUGUUCGGAAUCAUUGGGCGUAAAGAGCGUGUAGGCGGCUUGGUAAGUCAGAUGUAAAAGCCCUGGGCUCAAACCGGGAAGUGCAUUUGAAACUGCCAGGCUCGAGUAGGGGAGAGGGAAGUGGAAUUCCUGGUGUAGAGGUGAAAUUCGUAGAUAUCAGGAGGAACACCGGUGGCGAAGGCGACUUCCUGGCCCUAUACUGACGCUGAGACGCGAGAGCGUGGGUAGCAAACAG